rfam:Streptomyces sp. MnatMP-M17 genome assembly, contig: Ga0115259_10177
UCGGCCCCGGUUCACGUACGAGCAAUCCGCGUGUACGACCCGGUGCC